rnacentral:lncRNA from 1 species
GCAGAAACCAGCUCCCAGACUGAAGUGCUAAGGAGGCUCUCAUGGAAGGGAAGGCAUGAGGACUGUAUUUCAGAAGAUGGAGGUGUAACUCACAAAUGGUUUCUCACGAGCACAUAAUCACAUCAACGACAGAACAGUUUGCUUCCAGGG